CUCUCCUAGUACUAUUACCCAUUCUGAACCGAAUCAACACACACACUAGUACUAGUGCAGCCAGAACACAAGUAGUACACGCAUGCCCUCCUCUGUUUCUUCUACACCUUGCCCAGAUCGAGCAGCACGCCAGCGACGGGAAAGAUGCUGCUCCGCCGCUGCCGGAUCCUCAAAUCUCUCUCUCUCUCUCUCUCUCUCUCUCUCUCUCUCUCUGAUGUAAAUCCCCAUAUGUCCCCCAUGGAUUCAUCCCUAACCCUCAAAUCCUCCUCUGAUUUUGGCUUGCAGGUGAGGCUCUCGUUGGGAUGUGAUUCCGCUGCUCCAGAUCGAAGUCGCCGGCUUGGGCGCCGCCGUGAUGCUGGAUGGUGCAGGUCAGAGCUCCAGUGCGUGGCCAUGGAGCAGAUCGAACAUAUGUGCAGAUAGAAAGAUGAAGAAAGUGGGAGGAAGACAAGCUGCAGGUUUGGCUAUUUGGGGAAGAAUGGAGAUGUGUGAAGUCUUGGCAAUGGCUUGCUCUGCUCUCUCUCCUUUUAAUAUCAGAAAACCAUCUUCCUUGGCUGGUAUGGCUUCCCAUCCCCUUCUCCAUUGUUCUCACAGGUGCUAGCUUGUAAUUGGCUGAAGGUUGAAGCCCAUACAUAGACUAUAAUGUUGAACAAUUGACUAUUAAUCUAUUGUGCACGUGAGAGUGGUGGUUAGUGUGUCUCAAAUGUGUCAUGUUGUCCUAGUUGACUCAAAGAUAUUUUGUGUUGGUCUAAGUUUGGUCUGGCAUUGUUGUAUAGGUUAACAUAGUUUGGUCUUCCUAUAUUUUUUUUCAAAGAUUUGUAGUACACCUGUACAACUGUACUGUUUGAGGUGUAUGGAUAUAAAUAUAUAUAUUUGAGUGGUUAUGCUUGUUGAAGAA